AUUGAACGCUGGCGGCAUGCCUUACACAUGCAAGUCGAACGGCAGCAUGAUCUAGCUUGCUAGAUUGAUGGCGAGUGGCGAACGGGUGAGUAAUACAUCGGAACGUGCCCUGUAGUGGGGGAUAACUAGUCGGAAGAUUAGCUAAUACCGCAUACGACCUGAGGGUGAAAGUGGGGGACCGCAAGGCCUCAUGCUAUAGGAGCGGCCGAUGUCUGAUUAGCUAGUUGGUGAGUUAAAGGCUCACCAAGGCGACGAUCAGUAGCUGGUCUGAGAGGACGAUCAGCCACACUGGGACUGAGAAACGGCCCAGACUCCUACGGGAGGCAGCAGUGGGGAAUUUUGGACAAGGGGGGCAACCCUGAUCCAGCAAUGCCGCGUGUGUGAAGAAGGCCUUCGGGUUGUAAAGCACUUUUGUCCGGAAAGAAAUCGCACUUACUAAUAUUAGGUGUGGAUGACGGUACCGGAAGAAUAAGGACCGGCUAACUACGUGCCAGCCGCCGCCGUAACAC
rnacentral:rRNA from 1 species